GUGGGGAAUUUUGGACAAUGGGCGCAAGCCUGAUCCAGCAAUGCCGCGUGCAGGAAGAAGGCCUUCGGGUUGUAAACUGCUUUUGUCAGGGAAGAAAUCUUCUGGGCUAAUACCCCGGGAGGAUGACGGUACCUGAAGAAUAAGCACCGGCUAACUACGUGCCAGCAGCCGCGGUAAUACGUAGGGUGCGAGCGUUAAUCGGAAUUACUGGGCGUAAAGCGUGCGCAGGCGGCUUUGCAAGACAGAUGUGAAAUCCCCGGGCUCAACCUGGGAACUGCAUUUGUGACUGCAAGGCUAGAGUACGGCAGAGGGGGAUGGAAUUCCGCGUGUAGCAGUGAAAUGCGUAGAUAUGCGGAGGAACACCAAUGGCGAAGGCAAUCCCCUGGGCCUGUACUGACGCUCAUGCACGAAAGCGUGGGGAGCAAACAGGAUUAGAAACCCUUGUAGUCC
rnacentral:rRNA from 1 species